CGGAACGUGUCCUGUAGUGGGGGAUAGCCCGGCGAAAGCCGGAUUAAUACCGCAUACGCUCUACGGAGGAAAGGGGGGGAUCUUCGGACCUCUCGCUACAGGGGCGGCCGAUGGCAGAUUAGCUAGUUGGUGGGGUAAAGGCCUACCAAGGCGACGAUCUGUAGCUGGUCUGAGAGGACGACCAGCCACACUGGGACUGAGACACGGCCCAGACUCCUACGGGAGGCAGCAGUGGGGAAUUUUGGACAAUGGGGGCAACCCUGAUCCAGCAAUGCCGCGUGUGUGAAGAAGGCCUUCGGGUUGUAAAGCACUUUUGUCCGGAAAGAAAUCAUUCCUGUUAAUACCGGGGGUGGAUGACGGUACCGGAAGAAUAAGCACCGGCUAACUACGUGCCAGCAGCCGCGGUAAUACGUAGGGUGCAAGCGUUAAUCGGAAUUACUGGGCGUAAAGCGUGCGCAGGCGGUUCGCUAAGACAGAUGUGAAAUCCCCGGGCUUAACCUGGGAACUGCAUUUGUGACUGGCGGGCUAGAGUAUGGCAGAGGGGGGUAGAAUUCCACGUGUAGCAGUGAAAUGCGUAGAGAUGUGGAGGAAUACCGAUGGCGAAGGCAGCCCCCUGGGCCAAUACUGACGCUCAUGC
rnacentral:rRNA from 1 species